rnacentral:misc_RNA from 1 species
ACGUUAAAAUUAGGGUUUUACGAAUAGAGAGAGGUAAAGAGAGGAUAAAUGAACAGUAAGAGAUUGAGGUUCGGCGAUCAAUAGAAAACCCGAACCGCCAUUGACGUAGCUAAGUGAACCUUCGAUUUCUCUCUCCCUCUGUCUCUCUCUCUACCUCCCUCCCUCCCUAUUUUCCCUCUUUCCUUUUUUUUAUUUUCUGUGCAAGUAUCUGCCCUUG